UACGUAGGGAGCAAGCGUUGUCCGGAAUCAUUGGACGUAAAGCGCGCGUAGGUGGCCUCAUAAGUCCGCUGUGAAAGUCAAAGGCUCAACCUUUGAAAGCCGGUGGAUACUGUGGGGCUAGAGUACGGAAGAGGCGAGUGGAAUUCCUGGUGUAGCGGUGGAAUGCGCAGAUAUCAGGAGGAACACCAAUAGCGAAGGCAGCUCGCUGGGACGUUACUGACACUGAGGCGCGAAAGCGUGGGGAGCGAACAGG
rnacentral:rRNA from 1 species